UCGAUCUACUACUGGCCCCACGUGGGUUUAGCUUCGAUCGAUUACCAUCGCCUCGGAUAUCACACGGUUCUAUAAAUAAACUCCACGGUAAUUGGAAUGAAUUUCUUCAACUAUUUCGUCUCGUACUAAUCCCGCCGCUUUAUCCCGUAUAAUUAGCUCCGACGCACUUCGAAAUCGGUCCGAAUUCUUCUCCUUUGAAUUUAAGAUUUUCGCGACAGCGGCCGAUCUCACACCACUUCACAAUAUAUAAUAUAAUAACGUGAAGUGGAUACGGCGAUGCAGAAUCCGAGAGAGGCCGUGGAGCAACGGAGGAGGGUAGGGGUAUGUACGUAUGUAGCUGUUCGCCCAUCGGUUGACGGUGGUUUUAACCGCGUUUAAAGCCAAGCGGUAAAAUUUAUUACCCGUUCGAAAGCCCCUCCGCCCGUGUCUUCGGACGUCCGUUCCGCAAAUACGUGUUAAGAAAACGCGGCGAGCAACGGUAGAAGCAUGCAGAAGCAGAAAGGCCUCGGCAAAAAGAGAGAAAUAUAAAUACUCUGGACGUAUCCGCGUCGUUCUCUUCGCCUCCGUCGGAUAUAUACCUGACAGGUGAAGAGGGCGAAGAGGCCGGGAAGAAGAAGAAGGCGAAGAAGAAGAAGAAGAAGGCGAAGAAGAGGUUGCACGGUACGGGGGAGAACCGGGGUGAGCGCAUAAAAGACGUGCCUAGAAAUCUUCUCUCGGUCCGGGAGACGGGGCUCCCCCGGGUACAUCCGAUAUAUGGAUAACUUUCACAUGCAAGGUAAACAACCGUGAAGAAGACGCGAAAGACGAAGACGAAGACGAAGAAGCGAGCUCCGGGAUAAGUGGAUUUUCAUGUUGGGCGUACGGAGCUUGCACGAUUUCGUGUAUAGGUAUAUCUAUACCGUGCAAACUUCCGACGCUUGCUCACCUCUCCUCAUUAAGGAAAAAAUAAUAUAUAUAUAUUUGCAUUCAUACGUACGGUGUGUGUAUACCUCCGUGCGUCAUAAAUUGCGCGGCGAAAAAUUCGACGCGUAUUCCGCAAAAGCGGAAAUCGCCGAACGAAUCGUUUCAACGAAUAAAUCGAAUUACGCGAUACGCUUCGAUAUUUCAAAGGUGUCGGAUCUCGAUGAAUUCUUUGAAACGCGCUUUUUUUCCGAGAUAAAAAAAAGAAUCGGGAAUUUUUUUUGAGAUUCCUCAGUAUGCGUUGCAGCAUGCCAAUUUUCGAGUGCGAGUUAAUAUUUGCCUCGGCCGAGUAGAGAGUGGAUAGGAUCGAGGACGUGACGCGAGGAUCCUAGAAAUUUUACUUUUUCGUUUUUCAAUUAAAAAUUCAGCGAAGGUCGCUUCGUUAUCGGAAUAUUCUCGGUUUCACCGAUCGCGGGGUUAAUUAUGAGUAGAAUGGGUACAUAAAUUUUUUAAUUUACGUAAAAUUCUUUUUUCUUUUCUUUUUUUUUUUCUUCGUUUCGAAUAUUUUUCCAGAUAGUUGAUAACUCCGCACCUGGUGCAUGAAUCUUGUGAGACCGUUUGAUAAAUUGCUGUACCAGCCCAGCGAGGACGUGCUCUAUAAUUACAAGGCGUAUCGAAAGUGUCCGGGGUAUACAUAAGAAGAUCGGUCGAUCUCCGAAGAACCUUGGGGGGCAACUCUGUGACUCUACCUUCUCGAAGUAAAACGUUCCUCCGGCAACCAAACGGGGUAGACCCGACGCGGCGCAGAGCAGCUGGCUUGUGCUGAGUCUACGCCGAAGAGAAGUCGGGCCCGAUCCGAUCGACGUGAAUUUAGUAUCAUUGGAUCGAUUCACCGGCGUCAAUUGGGUCUCCGGGAUCGGCGUACACGUGACAACA